rnacentral:lncRNA from 10 species
AAACUUGGAGCUCAGAGACAUCCGUUAACUUAAAGUGGCUGAAGGGGGACUCCAAUCAGGGCAACCCACCUUAGAGUCCUCUGCUGUCCACCACUGAGCUGGGAAAUGAAGACUCUGCACAUAGCAUUUCAUCUGGCUGAUCCUUGGAGUCCCAGUCUCAGGGCAGAAUAUAUGACUGAAGUGAACUCCACUCGACCUUCAAAUCCAACCCCUCCGAAGAGAAUAUUCCAAGAAUCAAGCAAAACCUGGGAGGUCAAGGAUGUUUCAUCUGCGUUUCCCCAUUCUCUUAGAUUGUCUCUUCUUUCCUCAAGUCUCAUAGAAUCUGAGAGUUAGAAGGUUCUCAAAGGUCAUCUCAAGCACAAUGCUUUGUGAAAUUUGAAGUCCAGCUACAAUAUGCCCAAUAAGCAUUUAUCCAGACUCAAGAGUCCCCAUUGCUGGAGAAUUGGAAUUUAAUAAUACCAAACAUAGCCCAAUCCAUUUUGGAACAAAUCUACUUGUGAGGAAGUUAUUUUAUUGUUGUUUGUUUUACAGCAUGCUGUAGGUGGUCUCUUUGAAUUCCAUCUAAAUACAACUUUUUGUAGUACAGUACUGCAAAUCAUCUAUUCUAAAGAUGCAUAUGUGUUUACACUGUAUCUGUGAACAUUCAUAACAAUUGAAGACACUUCUGAUUGUGCUUGGCUGGGCAGCAGACACGACGUUGUUGCUUAUGCAUGUGUGAGACAGGCUGUUUCAGGUAGUGUGAUAAAAAUUCUCUCAAUAUUUCAGUCAAACUAUUUAAGAGUCUUUGGAAUAAGGAAUAUAAGCCUUCUAUGUCUUAAAAAAAAUUUAUGGAGAUUUUUUGAAAAUCAUGAAAGCACCAGAUUCAAAACAUUCAGAAGGCAUCUUGGAAGAAAAAAAAAAUCUCAGGAGACAAUAGUGGAGGACUCUAAACAAAGUUGUAUUACAGUAUUCUUAAGAGUAAAAUCAAUGGGACGAUAGAGCAAAACUGCUCAACUAAUAUACCUAAUUCAUAGAAUGUAAUAGCUAUUUAGGAAAUGAAACAUUUAUUGUUGAUUUAUGAUGUGCUACUAACUCUGCUAAGCCCUUUCCAUAUUUUAUUCUACUUGAUCCACCCCAAGACCUAAUGAGGUAGUUAGCACAGGGCCACUAUCCCUUAUCCAAAACUUUUAGGCCAAAUUUUGAAAUUCAUAACUAUUUUUAUUAUUUAAGAAUAUAUAGUAUAUGUAUUGUAUCUUGUUUAACCCCACCAGCAGGGUCUGGGAUAGCAUGCUGUAAUCAAACACAUUAAUAUUUUGCAACAAAAUAUGUGCAUAUUCACAGACUGUGGGAUAAAGAAAUAUCAUAGUAAGUCUCCAGUCUCCCGUCUCAUGCCAGUUUAGGUCAAAGAUGAGUUUGUGAUGGGCUUAUGAAAAUGUUUUCUGUUCUCAGGUAUUUGGGGAUUUUAGAUAUGCAAAUUAGUGGUUUGGAAUUUGUAUUAGUGUCUCCAUUUUGCUAAUAAACAAAGUGAGGCUUUGUAAGUAGUUCCCCCUGACGCACACAGCUCAGAGUGUGGAGUUGGGUCUGAGACAAUCAAGGUCUUAACAACGAUGCUUGGCUGCCUCAGUGAAGCAUCCAUCUGCCAGGAGGUUGGGGGUCACUGCCAUGGGCCCUGAGUCUUCUCUUCUUUAGACUGAUCACUUGCCCAUAACUAUCUCUAGACUUCUUGCCACAAUGGCUCUCCUUUGAACACCCCAUGGUUUCUCACUUCUUAAACCACUGUAAGUAUGAAGUCUCCAUGAGGGGAGACUUAACUAACUGCUAAUAGAAGAACAGAAAGAACAGAAAGGUGUGUGGAGUUCCACGCUCCAACAGCAUCUACCACUUGCUCAAUGAAGUUUUUCAAAAAUAAAAAUAUUUUCUAAGCAGAUGAUGUGGCUCUUUUAUCGUGCUCAUCAUUUUAGAGAGAAAAAGAUCAAAGAUAGAGCCACCAUAGGUUCCAAACCCAAGGUUUGGGAAACUCCAUUCCAGUUCUAUUAAAAUUGCAGCUUUUUCAUAUAAAUUUCCCUGGAGAAGAAAUAUCAUAGGAGUUUUAAUAAUAAUAAAGUACAGGUUCUGUAGCCAACUCAUCUGGUUUGAAUCUCGUUCUGACACUUCCUAGCUGUGUAAUCUUAAGCAAAUUACUUAACCUCUCUGUGCCUCUGUUUUUCUAACAAAUGGGGGCAAUGAUAUGACCUACCUUUGAG